rnacentral:rRNA from 1 species
CCUACGGGAGGCAGCAGUAGGGAAUUUUGCGCAAUGGGCGAAAGCCUGACGCAGCAACACCGCGUGAAUGUUAAGCCCUUCGGGGUGUAUAGUUCUGUCAAUAGCGACGAUUUUUGACUGUACCUAUAUAGGAAGCACCGGCUAACUCCGUGCAAGCAGCCGCGGUAACAUGGGGGGUGCAAGCGUUGUCCGGAUUCAUUGGGCGUAAAGCGUUCGUAGGCGGAAAGGUAAGUCUGAGGUUAAAGUCCGGGGUUCAACUCCGGUUCGGCAUUGGAGACUAUCUAGCUAGAAUGUGGUAGAGGUAAAGGGAAUGCCUGGUGUAGCGGUGAAAUGCGUAGAUAUCAGGAAGAACAUCGAUUGCGAAAGCGCUUUACUGGUCCAUUAUUGACGCUGAGGAACGAAAGCCAGGGGAGCAAAUGGGAUUAGAUACCCCUGUAGUC